rnacentral:tRNA from 1 species
CAUUGAGAAGCUAAUUUAGCAUUAACCUUUUAAGUUAAAGACAGGAGGAAUCAAUCUUCCCUCAAUGA